UACAGAGGGUGCGAGCGUUAAUCGGAAUUACUGGGCGUAAAGCGCGCGUAGGCGGCCACCGCAAGUCGACUGUGAAAUCUCCGGGCUUAACCCGGAAAGGUCAGCCGAUACUGCGGGGCUAGAGUGCAGAAGGGGCAACUGGAAUUCUCGGUGUAGCGGUGAAAUGCGUAGAUAUCGAGAGGAACACCUGCGGCGAAGGCGGGUUGCUGGGCUGACACUGACGCUGAUGCGCGAAAGCUAGGGGAGCAAACGGG
rnacentral:rRNA from 1 species